GUGGGGAAUCUUCCGCAAUGGACGAAAGUCUGACGGAGCAACGCCGCGUGAGUGAAGAAGGUUUUCGAAUCGUAAAGCUCUGUUGUCAGGGACGAGCAGGGGGAGUAUCAACAACACUCUCUCAUGACGGUACCUGACGCGGAAGCCACGGCUAACUACGUGCCAGCAGCCGCGGUAAUACGUAGGUGGCGAGCGUUGUCCGGAAUUCUUGGGCGUAAAGGGAGCGCAGGUGGGAAAGUUAGUCUGCUUUAAAAGUGCGGGGCUCAACCCCGUGAGGGAGUGGAAACGAUUUUGCUUGGGUGCAGGAGAGGAAAGCGGAAUUCCUAGUGUAGCGGUGAAAUGCGUAGAUAUUAGGAGGAACACCAGUGGCGAAGGCGGCUUUCUGGACUGUAACUGACACUGAGGCUCGAAAGCCAGGGGAGCGAACGGGAUUAGAAACCCCGGUAGUCC
rnacentral:rRNA from 1 species